CCUACGGGGGGCAGCAGUGAGGAAUAUUGGUCAAUGGUCGGGAGACUGAACCAGCCAAGCCGCGUGAGGGAUGAAGGUACAGAGUAUCGUAAACUUCUUUUGUCAGGGAACAAAGGCGGGGACGUGUCCCCGGAUGAGUGUACCUGAAGAAAAAGCAUCGGCUAACUCCGUGCCAGCAGCCGCGGUAAUACGGAGGAUGCGAGCGUUAUCCGGAUUUGGUGGGUUAAAGGGGUGCGAAGGGGGUCUGUUAAGUCAGCGGUAAAAGCCCGGGGCUCAACCCCGGCCCGCCGUUGAAACUGGCAGUCUCGAGUUGGAGAGAAGUAUGCGGAAUGCGCGGUGUAGCGGUGAAAUGCAUAGAUAUCGCGCAGAACUCCGAUUGCGAAGGCAGCAUGCCGGCUCCACACUGACGCUGAGGCACGAAAGCGCGGGUAUCGAACAGGAGUAGAUACCCCAGUAGUC
rnacentral:rRNA from 1 species